AACUGAUACUACCUGCGGGAACCUGCGGAAGGAUCAUUAAUGAAUAAACUUUGAGGAUGUUGCUGGCCUUGUCUUUCGAGAUGGGGCAGGUGCACUCUUCGAAUAUUCUUUUGACCACCUUUUACAAACCAUGUGCACCCUCUGUAGGUUUUGGCCUGUGUUCCAAACUUAUGUUUUUAGUCAUUUGCUCCAUGGAAUGUCAUUUGAAUGUUGAAUCUUCUUUGAUAAUACACAACUUUU
rnacentral:misc_RNA from 1 species